rnacentral:rRNA from 1 species
GACGAACGCUGGCGGCGUGCUUAACACAUGCAAGUCGAGGAGAACGGGAAUCUUCGGAAUCCCUAUUAAACUGGCGCACGGGUGCGUAACACGUAGGCAACCUACCCUUGAAUGGGGAAUAACACCGCGAAAGCGGUGCUAAUACCGCAUGACAUUCUAUUGUCGCAUGGUGAUAGAAUUAAAGAUUUAUUGUUCAAGGAUGGGCCUGCGUCCUAUUAGCUUGUUGGCAGGGUAACGGCCUACCAAGGCAACGAUGGGUAGCUGGUCUGAGAGGAUGAUCAGCCACACUGGCACUGAGACACGGGCCAGACUCCUACGGGAGGCUG